rnacentral:rRNA from 1 species
UACGUAGGGUGCGAGCGUUGUCCGGAAUUAUUGGGCGUAAAGGGCUCGUAGGCGGUUUGUCGCGUCGGGAGUGAAAACCUACAGCUUAACUGUGGGCUUGCUUCGAUACGGGCAGACUAGAGGUAUGCAGGGGAGAACGGAAUUCCUGGUGUAGCGGUGAAAUGCGCAGAUAUCAGGAGGAACACCGGUGGCGAAGGCGGUCUCUGGGCAUGAUCUGACGCUGAGGAGCGAAAGUGUGGGGGGGAGCGAACAGG